CCACUGCAUUUGUGAUCGCCUUCGGGUCCUGCGGUUCUCAGCCGCAACCGCAGCUUCUCCUCCCGCUCUUCCCCAGUCUAUCUGUUCCCGUCGGCUUUUCACAACAUCUCGGUCAUCUCCGUUAACACAGCUUUAUCAUGCUUCUCAAGCACCUGCGAUGGACACAACUGUGGUUGCCACUCGAGUCAAGGGAUAACAAGGGAUUCAAGGUUUUUCAACUUGAGUAGAUGGUGCAUCCCUGAAGCACUCCUUCCUCGAUGAGUAGCCAUGGGCUGCUGUGCAGUGCCACUAACAGUCUGAUCCCCUUGUCCGCAUCAAGGAUUCAAGCGCACUCAUGUUAAUGAAUCAGUGAUGGACAAUUUGGCUCAUCGCAGUGGCCCCUGACGUUCUGAACCUUAUGUCAAAGGCUUGGACACAAAUGGUUCUUUGGUUAUUCUCCUUCCAUGGAGCAGAUUAACUGAGGGCUAAACAAGAAUGAACUGAAUGCAGAUGGAGGAUCUGGAGCAUUAUUUUCUGCCUGACAAAGCUACAAAUGGAUUCACUAUUAAUAGGAAGACAUUAUUGGGUCAAUAUAUACGAUAUAUUAUGACUUGUUCACGAUCUUUCCUGGUUUACUGCAUUUUGUAUAUCAAUAUUUGAUUCUGAUGUGUACUCCAUGUACUUUA